AUUACACACAUAUUUUAUGUUUUCAGGCACCUACAGAGUCAUUUAAUGAGUGUUCAGAGUCAUUGAGUGAAACAGACUUUACAAAACCUACGUCCUCUAGCUGUUCUGAAUCUCAGGAAGUUACCACAACAAAUGUACUGAUUACAAGAUAUUUUCCAGACUUUGACUUACAUACCUUAUUACAAACAACAGUUGGAGGAAACAGUAUUUUGAAAUUUUAUGAAACUCACAAACAAUUGAAUAAUACUAAGAGAAACCAAUUAACCGACAUCAUUAUCAAACAUAUUUACACCUACAUUGUAAAUCACAAAAUUACCUACGAA